AGGACGAACGCUGGCGGCGUGCUUAACACAUGCAAGUCGAGCGGAAAGGCCCUUCGGGGUACUCGAGCGGCGAACGGGUGAGUAACACGUGAGUAAUCUGCCCCUAGCUCUGGGAUAGCUCCGGGAAACCGGGAUUAAUACUGGAUACGACCACCUUAGACAUCUUUUGUGGUGGAAAGAAUUUCGGCUAGGGAUGAGCUCGCGGCCUAUCAGCUUGUUGGUGGGGUAACGGCCUACCAAGGCGACGACGGGUAGCCGGCCUGAGAGGGCGACCGGCCACACUGGGACUGAGACACGGCCCAGACUCCUACGGGAGGCAGCAGUGGGAAUAUUGCGCAAUGGGCGAAAGCCUGACGCAGCGACGCCGCGUGGGGGAUGGAAGGCCUUCGGGUUCGUAAACCCCUUUCAGCAGGGACGAAGCGAAAGUGACGGUACCUGCAGAAGAAGCGCCGGCUACUACGCGCCAGCAGCCGC
rnacentral:rRNA from 1 species